CCAUUGCCAUCCCUACCUCGGUUACCCACUUUUCCCCAAAUCUCUUUGAUUUGAAAUUAGGUUUUUAGUGAUUGAUCAAUCCAUUAGCGGCAAUUUCGUAAGCAAAAUUUUUUACUUUCCCUCUCUUGCUCUCAAGCCCACAUAGCAGUAAGAACAACGGAAAUUACUUUAAAAAAUUUAGUUUCCCUCUCCACUCUCCAACCGCCAUAACUCAAUUCUACCAUUACCAUCAAUUACCUAAUAUGCCAGUGAUUGCGUGUGAUAUUAUCACUAGAAGGAUUCAUUAGCCGGUGAUGAAAAGUGGUUCUAUCAGUCAAUCGCCCGUUGCAAGUGUUUCGAUCAGAGCUUCAGUCCACCUUCAACCCUAGAUCUAGUUCAAAUGUAUUAUGAGUUUUAUACUGGUUGCAGAGUUCUGAGAUGAGGUUCUACCAAAAAAGAGGUUGGGAAUUAGUGACACUCGGAUAUUGUUUCCCGUCUUCUGGUGAACUUGGAGUUGCUUCUGCUUUCAUGGCUAGUAGGUAUACACUCGUGUCAUUCCUUUUUGAUAGCUCUGAUUCGUCAUAGUCAUACGCCGAGAGAUCGAUUCCCGUUCCUAGUAUUGUUUGGAAACUGAUGAAGAUCAAGGGGAUAUUAUGAGAUCUCAAGAUGAGGCUGAUCAAGACAGAGUAUGAAGACAUGGAACAUAUGACAAUUGCAAAUAAGGAAAAUUAUAUAGAAAAAAACGAUAUCAGUGGUAGAGGCGUUACAAAUACAUUAGUGAAAAAGGUAGAUGGUGCUUGCACAUCAUCAUACAUGAUUCCGGAAGGGCUGAUGGAAUCAUUUAAAGCAACCACUUGCUGGAAAUGCGUAAUGAGAUUGAAGAGGAUCAUGAAAGAAAAAAGGCUGAGCUGGAAGCUAUGCAAAAAGACAUUGACAACCAACGACAAAACUUGGAAGCUUUGAUGCAGCAAGUUAUGAAACGACUGCCUGUUGGAGAUCGAGAUGAGUAGAAUGUUUCCAUUUCUUUUUAUUAUUGUAUUGAAACUUUGU
rnacentral:lncRNA from 1 species